AUUGAACGCUGGCGGCAUGCUUUACACAUGCAAGUCGAGCGGCAGCGCGGGGGCAACCCUGGCUGCGAGCGGCGAACGGGUGAGUAAUGCAUCGGAACGUAUCCUCGAGUGUGGGAUAACCCAGCGAAAGUUGGGCUAAUACCGCAUGAGCUCUGAGGAGGAAAGCGGGGGACCUGCGAGGGCCUCGCGCUGGAGGAGCGGCCGAUGUCCGAUUAGCUAGUUGGUGGGGUAAAGGCUUACCAAGGCGACGAUCGGUAGCUGGUCUGAGAGGAUGAUCAGCCACACUGGGACUGAGACACGGCCCAGACUCCUACGGGAGGCAGCAGUGGGGAAUUUUGGACAAUGGGGGCAACCCUGAUCCAGCCAUGCCGCGUGAGUGAAGAAGGCCUUCGGGUUGUAAAGCUCUUUCGGACGGAACGAAAUGGGCGGGACUAAUACUCCUGUCUGAUGACGGUACCGUAAGAAGAAGCACCGGCUAACUACGUG
rnacentral:rRNA from 1 species